UACGAAGGGGGCUAGCGUUGCUCGGAAACACUGGGCGUAAAGGGUGCGUAGGCGGGUCUUUAAGUCAGGGGUGAAAUCCUGGAGCUCAACUCCAGAACUGCCUUUGAUACUGAGGAUCUUGAGUUCGGGAGAGGUGAGUGGAACUGCGAGUGUAGAGGUGAAAUUCGUAGAUAUUCGCAAGAACACCAGUGGCGAAGGCGGCUCACUGGCCCGAUACUGACGCUGAGGCACGAAAGCGUGGGGAGCAAACAGG
rnacentral:rRNA from 1 species